AGGAUGAACGCUAGCUACAGGCUUAACACAUGCAAGUCGAGGGGUAGCAGGGUAGCAAUACCGCUGACGACCGGCGCACGGGUGAGUAACACGUAUCCAACCUUCCCAUAACUCAGGGAUAGCCUUUCGAAAGAAAGAUUAAUACCUGAUAGUACUUUUUCAAGGCAUCUUGAGAAAGUUAAAGAUUUAUUGGUUAUGGAUGGGGAUGCGUUCCAUUAGAUAGUUGGUGAGGUAACGGCUCACCAAGUCUUCGAUGGAUAGGGGUUCUGAGAGGAAGGUCCCCCACAUUGGUACUGAGACACGGACCAAACUCCUACGGGAGGCAGCAGUGAGGAAUAUUGGUCAAUGGGCGAGAGCCUGAACCAGCCAAGUAGCGUGAAGGAUGAAGGUCCUAUGGAUUGUAAACUUCUUUUUAUAGUAGAAUAAAGUGAUCCACGUGUGGAUUUUUGUAUGUAUACUAUGAAUAAGGAUCGGCUAACUCCGUGCCAGCCGCUGC
rnacentral:rRNA from 1 species